rnacentral:lncRNA from 1 species
AUCAGUCAAAACCAGAUGCUCUGAUACGCUGCCAUCCAGACAUUCUCCUUUUAGCAUCAGGCAAAUUGGAAUCACUACUCUUUGGAGCAUGAGUCCAUUCUGGGUCUACUUGUCCAGAUGCAGGCUCUUGGUUACUGGUUCCCCAACAUGGGGAGGCGCCAUCACGCUGGGAACAUGGACUCCUUGGUCCCGCCUACCACCAGCCGGGGCUUUGUGCCAAUGUCCUGAGUGUGGGUGAAGGGGAAGGCCUCUGAGGAGGUGUGAGCCGGUGAUAACAGUCCAGCAGGUGGAUGGGAGACCCCUGAGUCAAC